rnacentral:rRNA from 1 species
CCAGAGUGACGGUACCUAAUGAAUAAGCCCCGGCUAACUAUGUGCCAGCAGCCGCGGUAAUACAUAGGGGGCAAGCGUUAUCCGGAAUUAUUGGGCGUAAAGGGUGCGUAGGCGGCCUAUUAAGUCUGAGGUAUAAGUGCAGUGCUCAACGCUGUGAUGCUUUAGAAACUGAUAGGCUAGAGUGAGAUAGAGGCAAGUGGAAUUCCAUGUGUAGCGGUAAAAUGCGUAAAUAUAUGGAGGAACACCAGUGGCGAAGGCGGCUUGCUGGGUCUAUACUGACGCUGAGGCACGAAAGCGUGGGGAGCAAACAGGAUUAGAUACCCUGGUAGUCCACGCCGUAAACGAUGAGUACUAAGUGUUGGAGAAAUUCAGUGCUGUAGUUAACGCAAUAAGUACUCCGCCUGAGUAGUACGUACGCAAGUAUGAAACUUAAAGGAAUUGACGGGACCCCGCACAAGCGGUGGAUCAUGUUGUUUAAUUCGAGGAUACACGAAAAACCUUACCAGGUCUUGACAUACUCUGCAAGUCUAUAGAGAUAUAGAGGAGGCUAACAGAUGUACAGGUGGUGCAUGGUUGUCGUCAGCUCGUGUCGUGAGAUGUUGGGUUAAGUCCCGCAACGAGCGCAACCCUUAUUGCUAGUU